UGUGGCAUGCCUUUGCUAAAUGGAACCAUUUCUGGCAUGGUCUCAUGUCAAAUUUACAACAUGGUGCUGUCAUAUAUUUGGGCUAAUGAUAAAACUGUCCAAGCAGCUCUUCAUGUUCGAGAGGGAACCAUAAAGGGUUGGGAGAGAUACAAUAGCAGCUUAAAUUCCACUAAUUACACACAUGAUAUCACAUCCAGUGUUUCGUAUCAACAAAACCUUACCAAGAAAGGCUUUCAUGCUUUAAUUUACAGGUAUGCAAUAUGCAUAAAGGAUAAAGCUUAGGCCUACUCUUACUCACUCAGAUGAUUCAUAAAUCCUCAAGGCAUAAUUGGAUAUUGGUCCAGGCAAAGAUAACAAAUAAAGAACUAAAAAAGUAAAAAGCAAGAAUGACACGUGGAAUAAAAAAUGUUCACUUUCAUUUCUUAAAGUAUAUACAAAAAUACAUGAAGUGCAAAGCAAAAAGAGGGGCAAUCGCCUAUACAUGGAAAAUUACCGGGCAUCCUUAGCAUCUUCGACAUCUGGAUCGAAUCUUUCCUCCCUAUCAUCGCCCAUGGCUAAAAAAUCAGCACCCUUAGGAAGUAAGUCCUUCACCCAGCUGAAGUCCUUAUCUAGAUGCCUCUCAUAAGGAUCAGCCAUGACUUCCGUUUGCAAGUCCAAGUAUGUAUCAACCAACUUAGCUAUUACUGCCUCCUCCUGGUACCUUAUUUGAGUGUUUAGUUGUUUAAUUUCCUAAGCACGAACAACCCAGACAAACUUAAACUUAGCCUCUAGCUCACCAACUUACCCCUCAGCAGCCUCCAGGAGCCCUUUCAGCUCUUGAUUGACUCUGAUGAUUUACAUCCUUUAUUGCCAUCUUAAUGAAGUUAUGUUGCGACUACAUCUCCCCAUAACUUUACUUUAGUAGCUUAAACUUCUCCCGAACCAUUUGGGAAACUGACAAUGCC
rnacentral:misc_RNA from 1 species